AGCCUUGCAUGGUGGCGGUAUCAUAGCCAAUGAGGUUUAUCCAACGCGUGAUUAUUGCUAAUUGAAAACUCUUCCCAAUACUUUGUGAGACUAGUCUUAUUUCUGGCCUGGUGCUGAUGGGAAAUAAGCCAGAGGUUUGCC
rnacentral:snRNA from 1 species